UUGUGUCUUCGAGUCGUUGAUUUCACACUGCCGAGAAAAGCCUCUAGAUAGAAAAUAGGUGCCCGUACCGCAAACCGACACAGGUAGUCAAGAUGAGAAUUCUAAGGUGAGCGAGCGAACUCUCGUUAAGGAACUCGGCAAAAUGACCCCGUAACUUCGGGAGAAGGGGUGCUCUUUAGGGUUAACGCCCAGAAGAGCCGCAGUGAAUAGGCCCAAGCGACUGUUUAUCAAAAACACAGGUCUCUGCUAAACCGUAAGGUGAUGUAUAGGGGCUGACGCCUGCCCGGUGCUGGAAGGUUAAGAGGAGUGGUUAGCUUCUGCGAAGCUACGAAUCGAAGCCCCAGUAAACGGCGGCCGUAACUAUAACGGUCCUAAGGUAGCGAAAUUCCUUGUCGGGUAAGUUCCGACCCGCACGAAAGGCGUAACGAUUUGGGCACUGUCUCAACGAGAGACUCGGUGAAAUCAUAGUACCUGUGAAGAUGCAGGUUACCCGCGACAGGACGGAAAGACCCCGUGGAGCUUUACUGUAGCCUGAUAUUGAAAUUCGGCACAGCUUGUACAGGAUAGGUAGGAGCCUUUGAAACGUG
rnacentral:rRNA from 1 species